rnacentral:rRNA from 1 species
AUUGAACGCUGGCGGCAGGCUUAACACAUGCAAGUCGAGCGAGGGGCGGACGGGGGGGAAAUGUCGGGGAAACGGCCGGAUGGAGGGGGAAAACAACUGGAAACGGAAGCAAAUACCGCAUACAAUCAGAUGGGCCAAGAUGGGAUUAGCUAGUAGGUGGGGUAAUGGCUCACCUAGGCGACGAUCCCUAGCUGGUCUGAGAGGAUGACCAGCCACACUGGAACUGAGACACGGUCCAGACUCCUACGGGAGGCAGCAGUGGGGAAUAUUGCACAAUGGGCGCAAGCCUGAUGCAGCCAUGCCGCGUGUGUGAAGAAGGCCUUCGGGUUGUAAAGCACUUUCAGCGAGGAGGCGUUACUCGCAGAAGAAGCACCGGCUAACUCCGUGCCAGCAGCCGCGGUAAUAC